rnacentral:rRNA from 1 species
GACGAACCACACGACCGUUAUUCGGAAUUACUGGGCUUAAAGGGUGCGUAGGCGGCGCAGAAAGUUGGGUGUGAAAUCCCUCGGCUCAACCGAGGAACUGCGCCCAAAACUACUGUGCUUGAGGAAGAUAGAGGUAAGCGGAACUUACGGUGGAGCGGUGAAAUGCGUUGAUAUCGUAAGGAACACCUGUGGCGAAAGCGGCUUACUGGGUCUUUUCUGACGCUGAUGCACGAAAGCCAGGGGAGCAAACGGG